AGCGGCGGACGGGUGAGUAAUGCCUAGGAAUCUGCCUGGUAGUGGGGGAUAACGUUCGGAAACGGACGCUAAUACCGCAUACGUCCUACGGGAGAAAGCAGGGGACCUUCGGGCCUUGCGCUAUCAGAUGAGCCUAGGUCGGAUUAGCUAGUUGGUGAGGUAAUGGCUCACCAAGGCGACGAUCCGUAACUGGUCUGAGAGGAUGAUCAGUCACACUGGAACUGAGACACGGUCCAGACUCCUACGGGAGGCAGCAGUGGGGAAUAUUGGACAAUGGGCGAAAGCCUGAUCCAGCCAUGCCGCGUGUGUGAAGAAGGUCUUCGGAUUGUAAAGCACUUUAAGUUGGGAGGAAGGGUUGUAGAUUAAUACUC
rnacentral:rRNA from 1 species